GCGGACUACAGCUGUCAGUGGCAGCUUGGUGGUCGUAUGUGUGGCGCCAUCUACUGGAACGUUUAGGAGUGACAUCACAUAUAUGGCGACUAAACUGCUGCAUAGGACAACAAUUAACAG
rnacentral:pre_miRNA from 8 species